rnacentral:rRNA from 1 species
AGUCUACCUGCCCACUGAAUUUAUUUAAAUGGCCGCAGUAUCCUAACUGUGCAAAGGUAGCAUAAUCAUUAGUCUUUUAAUUGAAGGCUGGUAUGAAUGGUUGGACGAGAUAUUAACUGUUUCAUGAAAAUUUAUAAUAGAAUUUUAUUUUUUAGUCAAAAAGCUAAAAUAAAAUUAAAAGACGAGAAGACCCUAUAAAUCUUUAUAUAUAAAUUAUUAGAAUUUUGUAGAUUUUUUUUAUUAUAAUAGUUGAUUAUAUUUUAUUGGGGUGAUAUUAAAAUUUAAUAAACUUUUAAUUGUUUAAAUCAUUAAUUUAUGAAUAAUUGAUCCGUUAAUAACGAUUAAAAAAAUAAGUUACUUUAGGGAUAACAGCGUAAUUUUUUUGGAGAGUUCAUAUCGAUAAAAAAGAUUGCGACCUCGAUGUUGGAUUAAGAUAUAAUUUUAGGUGUAGCCGCUUAAAUUUUAAGUCUGUUCGACUUUUAAAUUCUUACAU